rnacentral:lncRNA from 1 species
ACCUGCUGCCCGGCGCUGCGGGAGGAGAGCGCGGAACCGGGAGCCCUGGAACCCUGGCCCGACUGCUGAGCGCCCCGUGGGUCCUACGCUCCCGCGCCUUCUAGGGAAGCCCCUAAAGUUGGUGAGUCCCCUAGAAAGCAGUUCCUCUGUGGCUACGUCCAGGACGAACAACCAAAAACCGCCCCAGCCCCCCAAACCCCAAUUGCCUUAUUCUGUUUCCACUUGCUUUAGCCCCCACGCUCCUGUGUGCGAGAGGGGCCUGGUCAGACUGCAGACCCCACCCAGGAGGAGGAAGAGGAAGGGGCCGCCGUGGCCCGGGCACCCCCAGGGUAAUGGAAGUCAGGUCCAUAUGAAUAUUGCAGAACGUGAAGGGCCAGGCAGCGCCCCCCACCGCCGGGCCCACGGGCAGCCCCUCAUCUGCAACCCCUCAUAUUCAUAGGCAGCCCCUCGUGUUCACAGGCACGCCCCUCAUAUGCAGUCCUUCAUGGCCUGACAUCUGUGGGGAAGUCUCUGCCCACACCUAACACCUAAGCCUCUCAGGUAGGAGGGGCAACUUGUGCGGGGGUCGCUGGGAGGUGGGGGGCAUCAACUCUGGAAGAGACCACAGCUCUGGCCAGGACCAGGGUCGCCUCCCGGCCACUUCCGGCUUCUGGGAGAUUUCCUUUUCCUUGCAACUGGGGUGGGAGUGGACAGAUGACCGUCCCUAGGCCUGUGCUUCAAACCCGAAGCCAUGCUUCUGUGCAAAUGAGGCUCCUGGGCCACAUGAACUCCUGUGCAAAGGCCUGGAAAAUUAACACUUUGAACAAAGUCAGACAUGUUUGAGCAUUUGUGGCGAGUUUCAGUUGCCAGGGGCCCCAGGGAAGGCUGGACUGCGGCUUGUCUGGCCUCCCCCGCCUCCCUAUGGCUUCUGUAGGCGAUGUGACUGAAUCACAAAACGUAGGCAUCUUGCAGUGCCGUGUAAGGAAAUGUAAGUACCGUGAACAGUUUCCAGCAUGUAAUGCGCGAAAAGCCGGGCGUCCACGCCGGUGUUACCGGGGAAGGGUCAGUCACUGCAACCCCGGCAUUGCGCCCGCUGUUCCCAGGACGGCCAUGUCAGCCCGAGGACCUGCGUCUGCACUGGCUGUUGGUUGGGGCUGUGAGGGGCCUAAGGUUGCCUGGGGAUUGGAAACGCAAGGGCGUUUUGGAGGCUUGGCACACUGGGGGCCUGGAGUCGGGGCAGAGGCUCUCCAGGAGCUCCCUGUGGCUCCGGAGCAGCAAGUGGCCUGGUCUUCUGCCAGGCACAGUUGGGCAUUCCCAGCCCGCCCACGUGGACUCAAUCUUUCUUCUUGUAUUUGCUUUCUUCUGAGCUGUGUAUCCUGAGUUUUUGUUGUUUGUUUUUGCUUUACCUGCAUUCGUUUUCUGUUCUUUCUAAUUCUGCAUGCUUUUUGCACACUGGUGCUUUCUGCAGAAGGGGAUGGGGGUGAGAGGUUUUGUGUGGAUUGCGUCUGAGGCAAGGUGCCCACAGAGCAUGCACAUCAGGACAGAUCUGUGAGGAGGGACAGGGUCAGAGCGUGGGGUGUGGAGCUCUUGACCCUGGGGACUGCCAGUGUUUGUGUGGGUUGUGUGAGUGUGCUUGUGGGGCAGUGUAUCUUAUGGGGUGUGUUGCAGUGUGAGGUGAGUGAGGUCAGAGGGGGUUGGGGGUGACGCUUUUGAAUCUUGAGACCUUCUCUCAACCCAGAGCUAACAAUUUUAUCACCGAAAGAUAAUCUCCUGAUGACACUGUGUAUUUGUGAGUGAUGUCACAUGGGGGAAAUGGCACCUGCCGCUCUGCGCCCUGUCUCUCUCCGGAAACGGCGCGUCAGGGGUGUCAUUUCCAUGACAGUAAAUGUAGAUAUACGUUGUUGUUUUUCAUGUUUACAUAGACGAAUUUGGGUAUUUACUAAAAAUGAUUAACACCUACUUCCCUCUGUUGGUGGAAUUUUAGGGUGUUUUAUUUUACAUUCAAUGGAAUUUCUAAGGAAUAUUAGUAUAUCUUAUAAAGAAAAGAUAUAAAUAAUUUUAGGACAAGUGAUAACAGGCAGUCCAAAAGCCAACAGGAUGACAGAUUGUCUCUGGUUCAGUUAGUUCCUCUAUGUAAGUGUUAGAAGCAAAGACUGUGCAUUUCACCCUUAAUUCUAAAUAUGAUAAAAGGAGAGAAUUUGCAGUGAUUUGAUUAUUACAAUAAAAUGUACUGAAGUGACAGUUGACAAGCAAAAGGGGACCAACCACUCUGUAUUGCCCAGACAAAUUCCAGUUAGAUUCGACACACAUACACAGAGACACGCACACUUCCCCAUGGAAAACAGGUCCCUUAGAAACAAUAAACUACAAGAGGGCCUGGGACUUCCAGGAUGACUGAGUGAGGAACUUGGCAAAUUCUCUUCCCCAAAAGCAACCACAAAGCUGAACAGAAUUUUCAAAAACAGUCAUUUCAGAAUUCUGGAAAUGGACUAAAGGCUUGCAAGAAACUGAGAGGCAUUGAAACCCUUGGCAAGAACAGUGGGAGCCUCUGGCAUUUCAGCGGGGACUGCUCCUGUCUCCCCAGGUCCAUGGCAUGGUAGCACUAGAGGGGAAGACAAGCCACCAGGAGAGCUGACUUGAUUUGGGGGAGAGUGUGGAAAAGUCCAUGGCCAGCUGUUGUCAGUAACAGGAGAGUAUCGGUGGCAGACCGCCAAGGAAGGUCAGCGUCAAGGCUGCUUGAGGUCAUGCUGCUCUUUCGGGCAAGCAACAGACCAGUAGAUCAGGUAGAAAUUCAAAGCAGCAGCAACCCUGUUCUCCAGUGGUUCUGGGAAGCUGGGAAAAAGCACAAGGCUUCAUGCAGCCUCAGGGGAAAGCGAUAUUUUGUUAUGGUGGCCCUAGAUAACUAACAUCAUGUUUCAGCACGACCUCUGACUCACCACUGGCAUGGGCAGAUUCAGAAGAAGACUCAGACUGAAUAGGGCUUCCCCUAGACUGUAAGCAGAACAGAGGUGGGGGCUGGGUCUGAGCUGUUUCUCUCUGUAUACGCAACACCCUCACAGAAUCCAGCACACAGAAGCUGUCCUGUAAAUAUCAGAUGGACAGAUAAACAGGUGAGGCACGGACUAGCUGGAGGAUCUGCCCACAUCAGGACCUUGGAGAGCUCCAGUCCUCAAGAUGGGAACUCUCUCUGCUCAGGACUCCAGUGGCUUAAAGGUCUUUCUCAGAUCAGCUUUGCCCUCUUUUUUGACUGAGCCUGAAAUUCGAUACUUUUACCUAAGGUAGAGGUCACAAGGAGCUUAGUUUCAGGAGUCGUGAAAAGAUGGUAGGCCCAGAACGUGUAAGUAUAUGGCAGGACUUUGGGAUCCCCAUGGAUAAUCUCAAUGCCUCAGACUCCAAUAGGGUUUGAUAUUUAUGGCAUCCAUAUUGAUAUUUCUCCCAUGUAGGAGCCCUCAAGCUGUUUCAAAACAGAUGGAUAGAUGCAACAUUUGUGCAUGUAAGGGCAUCAUGAGAAACUAAAUUAUGACAUGGUUUGAAUUAGGUAGGAAAUGGACAAUUUUGUGAAUAACUUAUUAAAAAUAAAAUGAUGAUUCCAAUACCAUUGGAUAAGAAUCUCUAAAACAUAACUAAGUUAUAUAAACUGCUAGCCAGAUGGUGGAGCCAGGAGGGGCAAGCGCCGGCACCUUCAUGUCUUUUGAACAAGGAAGGUGGUGCCUGCCAGGUAGGAGAGCCCUGCCUCCUCCCAGAAACCCCCACAGCCUUCAUCCCACUUGGUCCUACUGUUCUUACCUGUUGCCCUCUCCAUAUCUCUUCUUGUUCAGCUUGGUCCAUCUCUCUCUGGACUUGCUCCCCAUCUCUGUCUCCCUAGUAACUCUUUCCUGUCCAUGUCUGAGAGUCCCUUGGAGAGAAGGCAGCUCCACCUUCUACAAGUGGUCCCUGAAAUGCCCUCAUCCCUACCUGCCCCAGUUCCCUUGUCGGUAUAUAAAAAUAUCUUUACAGUAAAGAACAGAGCACACUCAGCCCCCUGGUUGUUUGAUGUCCUGCACAGCCUCAGGACUUUGCAGGGAGUCUCCACCAAGAAGAAGGCCCUCACCAGAUUUGGUCUCUCAACGUUGGACUUCUCAGCCUCCACAACUAAUUGUACUAAUCAUCAGUUUAUUCAUGAAGCAUGACUUGGAUUGAACAAGAUAAGCUGGGUCAAGCAUUUGAAGACGCUUUUGAGGUACUGAGGCAACAUCCAACUUUAGAUCCUCAGAACUCCCCUGAUGACAAAAAUUACCUGUCUUUCAUUAACUGUUGUCUUCAUAUCAGAGGAAAUUCCAGCUGCUAUGAGUGUUGCCUACGGAGGAACCUGUCUACAAUUGGAGAACUGUAAUAGCAGGACUGUGGACUUCUAUUUUGAAGGAAAUAUUCAUCAACCUCUGCAGAGCAUAACUGAAAACCAGCUGGUACAACCUGCUCUUCUCCAGCAAGAGGAAGAAAAGGCAGGAAGAGGCUCUGGCUAUUGAAUACCUUCACAAAUCCCUGUGUACUGAGAUGGCAUCUUGUAUUCACUGGGAAGAUAAAACCAAAGACACCUUUCAGUUUGUAACAAAAAACCAGGAAACUUCUGAACUUUGGGGGAAGAGAAAAAGCAACCAGAGUACCAUGACUUUCCAGAAAUGGCCAGGGCACUGAGGAGCUGUGGAAGAACUGGGGAAAUCACCGAAACCCAGUACCAUUUCAGUGAGGCCAUUCUCCAAAAACUCUCUCCAUCUUAUUUCUUGGGGAAAGAGUUCUUCUACUUACAAUAUGAUCAACCUGAUUAAGAAUAUAUUGGUUUCUAUAACUGUGAUGCAGAUUAUAACUAUACAAAUGCCAAUUACCAGAAGCUAAGCCACCCUGAUUCCAAAAUAUAGUCUCACAUUUCAUGGUUUCCUGGUAUCAGAAAUCCCUAUGAGCCUGAGAUUUUUUCCCUUAAAGCAAAUACUGAAGAUAAGAAACCAAUUAAUUUCAUUGUUGCUAUCUUGUAUCCAAUGGCAUAAAAUCUAUACUAACUUGAUUAGAAAUUCUGCCAAUGAACAACUUUAUUGUUUUGAGUGAUGAAGCCCCAUUUGAGAAUAUAGGCUCAAUGGCCUUGCUCUUAACUGUUCUCUAUGCAGUCACUUUCUUCUGCACUAAAGUGCCAAUACAGAUACUGAAUACAUUGAUUUAAAUACAUAGAUAUAUAAAUAGAUAUUUAAAUAUGCAAUAUAUAUGGAUACUUUAUAUAUUGAUUUAAACAUUUUCCUCUCAUAGAUGAAAAAUCACUCUAACAUGUAUUGAUGGCUUCACAAGAAAUCAUUUACAGAAAAUAAUUGCAUAUGAUACAGUGUUUGUGCCAAAAUGUAUUCAUGGCUUUAAAAACUUCAGUGGAAAUGUCUAUUCAGAUCCCUAGCCCAUUGUUAAAUUGGUUUCUGUUUUCUUGCUAAGUUUGAGCUGCUUAUAGAUGAUGGAUAUUGACCCCUUAUAGAUGUUGGAUAUUGACCCCUUGUGGAUGUAUGGCCGGUGCUUUUCCCAGUAUUUAGGUCAUCUCUGCACACUGUUGAUUGUUUCCUUUGCUGGGUAGAAGUUUUUUGGUUUGAUGUAAUCCUAUUUGUUUAGUUUUACUUUUGUUGCUUGCACUUUUGGUGUUAAGUCCAAAAGAAAAUUGCAAACACCAAUGUCGUGUAAUUUUUACUCUCUGUUUUCUUCUGGUAGUUUUAGAGCAAGUUUAUCCAACCUGUGGUCUGUGGGCUGCAUGCAGCCCAGGACAGCUUUGAAUGUGGCUCAACACAAAUAUGUAAACUUUCUUAAACAUUAUGAGAUUUUUUUGGUGAUUUUUUUUUAGCUUAUCAGCUAUU